rnacentral:rRNA from 1 species
AUUGAACGCUGGCGGCAGGCUUAACACAUGCAAGUCGAGCGGAGAUGAGGUGCUUGCACCUUAUCUUAGCGGCGGACGGGUGAGUAAUGCUUAGGAAUCUGCCUAUUAGUGGGGGACAACAUUCCGAAAGGAAUGCUAAUACCGCAUACGUCCUACGGGAGAAAGCAGGGGAUCUUCGGACCUUGCGCUAAUAGAUGAGCCUAAGUCGGAUUAGCUAGUUGGUGGGGUAAAGGCCUACCAAGGCGACGAUCUGUAGCGGGUCUGAGAGGAUGAGCCGGCAAACUGGGACUGAGACCCGGGCAAGACUCCUACGGGAGGCAGCAGUGGGGAAUAUUGGACAAUGGGGGGAAGCCUGAUCCAGCCAUGCCGCGUGUGUGAAGAAGGCCUUUUGGUUGUAAAGCACUUUAUGCGAGGAGGAGGCUACUUAGAUUAAUACUCUAGGAUAGUGGACGUUACUCGCAGAAUAAGCACCGGCUAACUCUGUGCCAGCCGCCGCCGUAAAAC